CCUACGGGCGGCAGCAGUGGGGAAUAUUGCACAAUGGGGGAAACCCUGAUGCAGCGACGCCGCGUGAGUGAAGAAGUAAUUCGUUACGUAAAGCUCUAUCAGCAGGGAAGAAAAUGACGUUACUUGAGUAAGAAGCACCGGCUAACUACGUGCCAGCAGCCGCGGUAAUACGUAGGGGGCAAGCGUUAUCCGGAUUUACUGGGUGUAAAGGGAGCGUAGACGGGUCGCCAAGUCUGGAGUGAAAUGCCGCGGCUUAACUGCGGAACUGCUUUGGAAACUGGCGAACUAGAGUGCGGGAGGGGUAAGCAGAAUUCCUAGUGUAGCGGUGAAAUGCGUAGAGAUUAGGAGGAACACCGGUGGCGAAGGCGGCUUACUGGACCGUGACUGACGUUGAGGCUCGAAAGCGUGGGGAGCAAACAGGAUUAGAUACCCGUGUAGUC
rnacentral:rRNA from 1 species